rnacentral:rRNA from 1 species
GACGUAGGUGGCGAACGUUAUCCGGAAUUAUUGGGCGUAAAGGAUGCGUAGAUGGUGUAGUAAGUUAUCGGUGGCAAACCGAGGCUCAACCUCGUGGAAGUCGGUAAUACUGCUAUGCUAGAGGAUAGGAGAGGUUAACGGAACUCCCUGUGGAGCGGUGAAAUGCGUAGAUAUAGGGAAGAACACCAAUCAGGCGAAGGCAGUUAACUAUUCUAUUCCUGACAGUGAGGCAUGAAAGCGUGGGGAGCAAAACGG